AACCUGCCCUUGACUCUGGGAUAAGCACUGGAAACGGUGUCUAAUACCGGAUACGAGCUUCAGCCGCAUGGCUAGGAGUUGGAAAGAAUUUCGGUCAAGGAUGGACUCGCGGCCUAUCAGCUAGUUGGUGAGGUAAUGGCCCACCAAGGCGACGACGGGUAGCCGGCCUGAGAGGGUGACCGGCCACACUGGGGCUGAGACACGGCCCAGACUCCUACGGGAGGCAGCAGUGGGGAAUAUUGCACAAUGGGCGCAAGCCUGAUGCAGCAACGCCGCGUGAGG
rnacentral:rRNA from 1 species